AGCCGGGGAAGCAGCGGUUCCCUGUACCUGAAAUCCGCUAUAGCAGGGGUGAUGAUCCGGCUGAGGGUGAUUUUGCAUGACAUAGCCCGGCAGUAUAUGUGUUGAUAUCCGGGUCUUGCGCAACAGUACGCCGUGAACCGUGUCAGGCCAGGAAUGGAGCAGCACUAAGCGGAUGUUUCUGUGUGCCGCAAGGGUGCCUUGAUUGAGCAUAUUCCG
rnacentral:SRP_RNA from 1 species